rnacentral:rRNA from 1 species
AGACCCGAAACCCGGUGAUCUAGCCAUGGGCAGGUUGAAGGUUGGGUAACACUAACUGGAGGACCGAACCGACUAAUGUUGAAAAAUUAGCGGAUGACCUGUGGCUGGGGGUGAAAGGCCAAUCAAACCGGGAGAUAGCUGGUUCUCCCCGAAAGCUAUUUAGGUAGCGCCUCGUGAAUUCAUCUCCGGGGGUAGAGCACUGUUUCGGCUAGGGGGCCAUCCCGGCUUACCAACCCGAUGCAAACUGCGAAUACCGGAGAAUGUUAUCACGGGAGACACACGGCGGGUGCUAACGUCCGUCGUGAAGAGGGAAACAACCCAGACCGCCAGCUAAGGUCCCAAAGUCAUGGUUAAGUGGGAAACGAUGUGGGAAGGCCCAGACAGCCAGGAUGUUGGCUUAGAAGCAGCCAUCAUUUAAAGAAAGCGUAAUAGCUCACUGGUCGAGUCGGCCUGCGCGGAAGAUGUAACGGGGCUAAACCAUGCACCGAAGCUGCGGCAGCGACACUGUGUGUUGUUGGGUAGGGGAGCGUUCUGUAAGCCUGUGAAGGUGUGUCGUGAGGCAUGCUGGAGGUAUCAGAAGUGCGAAUGCUGACAUAAGUAACGAUAA